UACGGAGGGUGCAAGCGUUAAUCGGAAUUACUGGGCGUAAAGCGCGCGUAGGCGGCUUUGCAAGUCGGGUGUGAAAUCCCCAGGCUUAACCUGGGAACUGCAUUUGUGACUGCAUCGCUGGAGUGCGGCAGAGGGGGAUGGAAUUCCGCGUGUAGCAGUGAAAUGCGUAGAUAUGCGGAGGAACACCGAUGGCGAAGGCAAUCCCCUGGGCCUGCACUGACGCUCAUGCACGAAAGCGUGGGGAGCAAACAGG
rnacentral:rRNA from 1 species